UACGGAGGAUCCAAGCGUUAUCCGGAUUUAUUGGGUUUAAAGGGUGCGUAGGCGGUCCUAUAAGUCAGUGGUGAAAUAUCGCAGCUUAACUGUGAGGGUGCCAUUGAUACUGUAGGGCUUGAGUGAAUUUGAGGUAGGCGGAAUUGACGGUGUAGCGGUGAAAUGCUUAGAUAUCGUCAAGAACACCGAUAGUGAAGACAGCUUACCAAGCUUCAACUGACGCUGAGGCACGAAAGUGUGGGGAUCAAACAGG
rnacentral:rRNA from 1 species